rfam:Acidovorax sp. JS42, complete genome.
GGGUGUCCACCGCAUGGGGCGGCAGGGCAGGAUUGUUGCAGCGCAGGUCGGGCCGCCUGCG